ACGGGGUGCAGCAGGCGCGAAACCUCCUCAAUGCACUUACGUGCGAAGGGGCUACCUCGAGUGCCACCUGAUGAAGGUGGCUUUUCCUAGGUCUAAAAAGCCUUGGGAAUAAGAGGGGGGCAAGACUGGUGUCAGCCGCCGCGGUAACACCAGCCCCUCGAGUGGUGGGGAUGAUUAUUGGGCCUAAAGCGUCCGUAGCCUGCCGUAUAAGUUUCCCGUUAAAUCCAGCGUCUCAAGCGUUGGACUGCGGGAAAUACUGUACGGCUAGAGAGUGGGAGAGGUCAGCGGUAUUCUGGGGGUAGGGGCGAAAUCCUUUGAUCCCCGGAGGACCACCAGUGGCGAAGGCUGCUGACUAGAACACGUCUGACGGUCAGGGACGAAAGCUGGGGUAGCGAACCGGAUUAGAUACCCGGGUAGUCCCAGCCGUAAACGAUGCAUGCUAGGUGUUGGGUUGGCCACGAGCCACCCCAGUGCCGCAGGGAAGCCGUUAAGCAUGCCGCCUGGAAGUACGAUCGCAAG
rnacentral:rRNA from 1 species